GGGCCACUAUGCAACUGAGAGAGAGAGAGAGAGACGGGGGGGACUGUCGCAGGGUGAGAUCGAGACUCGCAGGGAGAGAGAGAGAGAGAGAGAGAGUGUGGUCCUGUGGAGGCUAGGUUUUUUGAAGCCUGAAGCCGAAGGAAAAUGGAAAUUAUGAGGGGGAGAGAGACGAGAGACGAGAGUGACUGGGUGAUAGCCUGAGGCCGCGCGCGGGGGGGGGGGGGGGGGGGGGGGGGGGGGG